rnacentral:rRNA from 1 species
UACGUAGGGGGCAAGCGUUGUCCGGAUUUAUUGGGCGUAAAGAGCGUGUAGGCGGUUUGGUAGGUCCGCUGUGAAAACUCGAGGCUCAACCUCGAGACGUCGGUUGAAACCGUAUGGCUAGAGUCCGGAAGAGGAGAGUGGAAUUCCCGGUGUAGCGGUGAAAUGCGCAGAUAUCGGGAAGAACACCCGUGGCGAAGGCGGCUCUCUGGGACGGUACUGACGCUGAGACGCGAAAGCGUGGGGAGCAAACAGG